CCGCCGGGGAAGAAUGAUGACCUACAGAACCUCACCAAAUCCUUCUUUUAAACUCAUGGGUAUCAAGACUAUAAAUGUUUCAUGCUAUCACAACUAGGACCUCACCUCCUCCUCCUCUUCCUCUGUAAAUGGGUACGAUGCAUCCAGUUCAGUUUGUUUACUUUACACAAACCUCAGGAGUUGUUGACUGAGCUGCACAUCCUGUGUUGUGCCAAGCAGAAGCACUGUGACACCUGGACAACAAGUCUCUCUUACUUCAUAUCCUCUACCAUAAGGACUUUGCUGGCCACAUGAACUGAUGUGCCCACCACUACAUCAUGGGUUAUUGUGGACAUGGUUACUGUCCUGCUGAGUUUCAUCACUGCAGUGGUAGUGCUUUGUUCUUACGCCUUUUUGAAGAUGGACUGAAAGAAGAAAUGGGUCUGAGGGUGGAUCCACGUGUGCCUUGUCCACAUGGAAGGACUUGGUGGCAAAUGUACUCUGGGAGCUGCCACUGUCCACACAGGCUGGAAGUUUUGGAAGGUCAUGCUUUCUGUUGGCUUUCUGGAGCUUGGUGUGACUGAGGUUGUGCCACUGUAGGGCAGAGGGUCCAUGAGCUUCCCUAUCUCAAGGCACAGAGGCAACAGAGCUACAGGACAACACACUGGAGUGGGAUCCUGGCUGGGUUGUAACCUACCUUAUCAAACAACUGAGAGCUCCUUGCACUACAUUUUUGACACUGGUGAGCAGGUUAUGUGCACUGAAAGUGUGGACUGGACUGGCAGUCAGUACCUCGUGUCUUUAGGGAAGGAUUCCAGUCUGUAAAGGACCUGCUGCAGCUGAUUUUGUGUUUUUUCAUCCUAUUCUUUUGAAUCAGCCUCGUGUGCAGAAUGUCUGCUCAAAAUCCUUCUUACUGAAGUUUCAUGGUCUCUUAUUUCCAUUAUUUGACAAUUACUAAAAGGAGAUCUUUUAACUGAUGCAGCAUUAAGAGCAGAUCUUAGAAUAAUCAGUAGUUUUAACAGCUCUUUCUAUUCUCCCUGCUUUUGUGGCAUAUUAUAAAAGUGUCAAUCUCUCACUGCUAUCUAACAAACAAACUUCUGCCCUGGAUCCAUUUCCUCUUGGGCAGUUUGCCAGGAAUAACAAAUUAAACUCCAGCUCUCAGUUUAAGAAGUUUCACUUCACUGAGUAGAGUUCAAGUACAGUCUAUUAUCCUGACUAAGUGAUAGAGGAGUCCUUUGAUGUUUGCUUCUUGAGUGGUUUAUACAAGCCAGGGCUUCCUGUAGGAAAAAGAGCUGCAGCUGAAGGAAAUACUUGAUUGAUCAG
rnacentral:lncRNA from 1 species